UUAGGAAUUUUGUGCAAUGGGGGAAACCCUGACACAGCCACGCCGCGUGCGGGAUGAAGGCCUUCGGGUCGUAAACCGCUUUUCUCAAGGAAGACACCCGACGGUACUUGAGGAAUAAGCAACGGCUAACUACGUGCCAGCAGCCGCGGUAAUACGUAGGUUGCGAGCGUUGUCCGGAUUUACUGGGUGUAAAGCGCGCGCAGGCGGUCUCGAAAGUCCACGGUGAAAGCUCCCGGCCCAACUGGGAGAGGCCCGCGGAAACUUCGGGACUUGAAGAUGGCAGAGGCAGAUGGAAUUUCCGGUGUAGCGGUAAAAUGCGUAGAUACCGGAAGGAACACCAGUGGCGAAGGCGAUCUGCUGGGCCAUCCUUGACGCUCAGGCGCGAAAGCUAGGGUAGCGACCGGG
rnacentral:rRNA from 1 species